GGGGGGGGGUACAAUUAUAGUUUCAAUGUCUCUGACAUUCUUCACUCAAAAUAGACAAAGGAUAAAGAAUAACAGUGUACUCAACAUCCAUUUCUAUCAGCCUGAACUUUUGGGCCCUUCCUAAAUGGGAAAUUAACGCUGAAGGAAAACCGUACACCUCUGUGUAUAAUGUCUGGGUGGCUGUGGUUGUUGCUGCACAAAAAGUUCAUCGUCAACAGAUGAGAAUCUGAUAAACUCCAUGGAUGGAAGUCUUAUAACUGUUAUUAAAAUGAAGGGUGGCUAUAUUGGUCAUUAAUUUCUAAAUGUUAAUUUCUAAAUUUUGAGUUGUUUGUUUAUUAUUCUCACUUUAGCAAAUGAAAAUAAACAAGUGACUUUAGUUGCUUAAUGAUUCUGCACACUAAUCGUUGCCUAAUAAUUAAUAGAAAUAAUAAUCAUAGAAAUUACAAUCAUAGAAAUUUUCCCAAGAAAGACAGAAUCUCACUUUUACGGUCUUAAAUAUUUAAGUUGAAGGGAUGAUUAAAUAAUCGGACGAAACCCCACUUUCGUCCGUCCUCAGUCUGACCUUUUUUCGAACAUUCUCCCCCCUCGUCCUUCAUCCGCAAAAUGGCCUUUGGUCGUUGGUCAGGGACGGACAGACCAUUCCGUCCCUGGGACGCAACGCCCACCUCCGGUAACAUGUCUAAUCCAGGCUUGAGCUCGGUAGUGUGGGUGGGGAGAGGGUGAUCAGCUAAUAUGAAAAUAA